AGAGUUUGAUCCUGGCUCAGGAUGAACGCUAGCUACAGGCUUAACACAUGCAAGUCGAGGGGAAACGACAUCGAAAGCUUGCUUUUGAUGGGCGUCGACCGGCGCACGGGUGAGUAACGCGUAUCCAACCUGCCCAUCACUUGGGAAUAACCUUGCGAAAGUAAGACUAAUACCCAAUGAUAUCUCUAGAAGACAUCUGAAGGAGAUUAAAGAUUUAUCGGUGAUGGAUGGGGAUGCGUCUGAUUAGCUUGUUGGCGGGGUAACGGCCCACCAAGGCGACGAUCAGUAGGGGUUCUGAGAGGAAGGUCCCCCACAUUGGAACUGAGACACGGUCCAAACUCCUACGGGAGGCAGCAGUGAGGAAUAUUGGUCAAUGGGCGAGAGCCUGAACCAGCCAAGUAGCGUGCAGGAUGACGGCCCUAUGGGUUGUAAACUGCUUUUAUAAGGGAAUAAAGUGAGCCUCGUGAGGCUUUUUGCAUGUACCUUAUGAAUAAGGACCGGCUAAUUCCGUGCCAGCAGCCGCGGUAAUACGGAAGGUCCGGGCGUUAUCCGGAUUUAUUGGGUUUAAAGGGAGCGUAGGCCGGAGAUUAAGCGUGUUGUGAAAUGUAGGUGCUCAACAUCCGCACUGCAGCGCGAACUGGUUUCCUUGAGUACGCACAAAGUGGGCGGAAUUCGUGGUGUAGCGGUGAAAUGCUUAGAUAUCACGAAGAACUCCGAUUGCGAAGGCAGCUCACUGGAGCGCAACUGACGCUGAAGCUCGAAAGUGCGGGUAUCGAACAGGAUUAGAUACCCUGGUAGUCCGCACGGUAAACG
rnacentral:rRNA from 1 species